rnacentral:rRNA from 1 species
GACGAACGCUGGCGGCGUGCUUAACACAUGCAAGUCGAACGGAGCUAUUUAUUUCGGUAGAUAGCUUAGUGGCAAACGGGUGAGUAACGCGUAGGCAACCUGCCCUUAGGAUGGGGACAACGGCCCGAAAGGACCGCUAAUACCGAAUGCACUCUAACUUCCGCAUGGAAGAAAGAGGAAAGAUGGUGCAAGCCAUCGCCGAAGGAAGGGCCUGCGUCUGAUUAGCCAGUUGGUGAGGUAACGGCUCACCAAAGCGACGAUCAGUAGCCGGUCUGAGAGGAUGAACGGCCACAAUGGGACUGAGACACGGCCCAUACUCCUACGGGAGGCAGCAGUGGGGAAUCUUCCGCAAUGGGCGAAAGCCUGACGGAGCAACGCCGCGUGAGUGAAGAAGGUCUUCGGAUCGUAAAGCUCUGUUGUUGGGGACGAAAGAAAAGGGGAGGAAAUU